UGGUGAUCACUCAGUUUUAUAAACUGAUU
rnacentral:piRNA from 1 species